GCACAUUUCUGCUUGUUUUAGCUACAUGAAUUUGGUCGAGCAGAAAUGUGCAUAUUGUAAAUUUGACAUUUAAUUGGCAGGGCUAACAAGGUUGAAAAAUAUAUUGAUACAUUUCAAUGUUCGCGCGUCACAACAAAAAUAAAGAAAAUUAUCAGCCUGUUCCACGAUGUCGAAAGAACACGUUCGCACAACUUUUACACGACAAACAGCUGAUUUCCGUUCCACUAAAAUCCAUCAGAACGAAAAUUUGCACGAAAAUCAAAGCGAACGAAAACGUAAGCGUUUCAGUGUAAUUUUGCGUUCCACUAUCUUUUUUCUUUCGUACGCAUGCGAACACAAAUGUCAAAAUCAGUCACUUGUGUGUUUGCUGUCGAAUGAUAAAAAUUAAGGAAAAUUGUUUUAACAUAAACAUUCCUUGAUUGAAAAUGGAAAGAAAAAUCACGAAAAAACUACACAGCUGCGGGCACUAGUUGAGUAUAUGGGGGAGAAUCCUAAGUUCGCCAGAGGAGUGCCAAUUUUUGGAAGCAGCAGGCAAUCCCAUGAAGACCACUGGAAGACACAAACCUAGAAAAAAUCAUUUUUUUAUUAUUUCAAAAAUGUAAAAAUACAAUCAUACUUACUGGUUGUUAGGUACUUCAAAUAAAUUCGAAGCAUCUCUUAAA